rnacentral:lncRNA from 1 species
GAAAGACUAAGGAAGAAGGUAAAUGAAGAGCCAUUAGAGCAAGCUCUUCAAACAAAGCUCACUUUGAACGAGGGUGAAGGAAGGUUCAAUAGUAGAAGAAGCCAAAGAGGAAGAGGACGAGGCCAAGAUCGAGGAAGAAUUGCAUUCUACAAGGAGGAAAGAAGACAAAGUUCGUUUUCUACCAGAGGUCACGGAAGAGAAAAAGGUACGAGGAAAAAUGAAGGACCAAGGUAUGAC